CCUACGGGAGGCAGCAGUGAGGAAUAUUGGUCAAUGGUCGGGAGACUGAACCAGCCAAGCCGCGUGAGGGAGGAAGGUACAGAGUAUCGUAAACCUCUUUUGUCAGGGAACAAAGGCGGGGACGUGUCCCCGGAUGAGUGUACCUGAAGAAACAGCAUCGGCUAACUCCGUGCCAGCAGCCGCGGUAAUAGGGAGGAUGCGAGCGUUAUCCGGUUUUAUGGGGUUUAAAGGGUGCGCAGGAGGUCUGUUAAGUCAGCGGUCAAAGCCCGGGGUUCAACCCCGGCCCGCCGUUGAAACUGGCAGUCUCGAGUUGGAGAGAAGUAUGCGGAAUGCGCGGUGUAGCGGUGAAAUGCAUAGAUAUCGCGCAGAACUCCGAUUGCGAAGGCAGCAUGCCGGCUCCACACUGACGCUGAGGCACGAAAGCGUGGGUAUCGAACAGGAUUAGAUACCCGUGUAGUC
rnacentral:rRNA from 1 species